rnacentral:rRNA from 1 species
UACGUAGAGUGCAAGCGUUGUCCGGAAUUAUUGGGCGUAAAGAGCUUGUAGGCGGUUUGUCGCGUCUGCUGUGAAAUUUCGGGGCUCAACCCCGAACUUGCAGUGGGUACGGGCAGACUAGAGUGUGGUAGGGGAGACUGGAAUUCCUGGUGUAGCGGUGAAAUGCGCAGAUAUCAGGAGGAACACCGAUGGCGAAGGCAGGUCUCUGGGCCAUAACUGACGCUGAGAAGCGAAAGCAUGGGGAGCGAACAGG